UUCACUUCCGCCAUGUUUUAAUAUCGUUAAUAUUGACUUGGAUCGUGCCACACUAGAUGGCAUCACGGUUACAGUUUAAAUCUUUUUUAAAUUCGUAAGUUUCCUCUCUUUAUGCUUUACAUUUUCCUUUGUACGCAUUCAGCAUACUCGACACUCGAUAGUGGAAAAAGAGCUGUGAAUCGUGACGUGACAAUAAUCGUAUCCGGUGUUAUGUGCGACGCUAUUGAAUUGGUCAGAUUUCGAGUCGGUGACCAUUCGAUAAGGUCGUGAGGAUGCAAAUGGACUGGAUCAAUGGAUCGAUGGAUGAUACUUGCAGGGGUGAAAAGAGUAACUGGAGGGUCGACAUCCCCCCUGUGGGAGAAGAAUCAAGGAUUUUCCUCCAAGGGAUUGGAAUCAUGGGAGGGGGAACUCUAUUCUAUCUUGAAGUUCGUUUACUUUCAUAAUUUAAAUGAAACAUAAUUUUUCACACGAUUUAUUUAUACUAUGCGCAAUUUCUCAAUGAAGUCUCUUCGUGGAAAGAGAGAAUUGGAACACUUUCCAGAAAUUGUAUCGAGGAGCUUCCUUAUAUAAAAACGUUGUUCUUUCUCCAAAUGUAAUUUGAAUAUAAAUUUCACCGUGGAAGCAAAAUGGGACUCCGUCUAGAAAUUUUUCUCCAUUGUAUAGUAUAUCUAUAUUUGUAUACUAUAUUUGAUAAAAGAUAUUAUUAUAUAUUCACAAAAAAAUUCAAUUCAGCUACCUACUUAUAUCUUUUUAUUCAACGUGCGUUUACUUUUUUACAACUUUUUCAAUUUUGAGUAAUAAAGUAUAAAUAAAUUGCUUAUUUUCCUACAAUUUAUGAACAUUUUUCUAAUUUUUUUUCUUUUUUGGAAAAAUUACAAUUACAAUUACAAUCUUAUAUAUAAAAAAAAUAAGAGAUUGUAUAUUGUGUAUUAUAAUAAAUAUAAUUUAUAUGCAACAUUGCAAAAAAGAUAUUUAUGAGUAAUUUAAUAACAAAUAUAACAAUAUUAUGAAAAAGAAAUUAUUGUAAAUAUAUACGUACAUUUAAAGAAUAAAAAGAUUUUAAGAAGUAAAAAAAUAAA